rnacentral:rRNA from 1 species
AUUGAACGCUGGCGGCAGGCCUAACACAUGCAAGUCGAGCGAGCGGCGGACGGGUGAGUAAUGUCUGGGAAACUGCCUGAUGGAGGGGGAUAACUACUGGAAACGGUAGCUAAUACCGCAUACCAUCAGAUGUGCCCAGAUGGGUUUAGCUAGUAGGUGGGGUAACGGCUCACCUAGGCGACGAUCCCUAGCUGGUCUGAGAGGAUGACAAGCACAACGGGACCGGAGACAAGGUCCAGACUCCUACGGGAGGCAGGAGUGGGGAAUAUUGCACAAGUGGCGAAAGCCUGAUGCAGCCAUGCCGCGUGGUUGAAGAAGGCCUUAGGGUUGUAAAGCACUUUCAGCGGGGAGGCGUUACCCGCAGAAGAAGCACCGGCUAACUCCGUGCCAGCAGCCGCGGUAAUAC